rnacentral:rRNA from 1 species
UGAACUGUUUUCAAUGUAUUAGGUUUAUCCAACUCGUUGACCAGUAAAGUAUUUGUUUAUUACACAGGCUCGGCCUUACAACAACAAACAAAGUUUGACCUCAAAUCAGGUAGGACUACCCGCUGAACUUAAGCAUAUCAAUAAGCGGAGGAAAAGAAACCAACAGGGAUUGCCUUAGUAACGGCGAGUGAAGCGGCAAAAGCUCAAAUUUGAAAUCUAGCACUUUCAGUGUUCGAGUUGUAAUUUGAAGAAGGUAACUUUGGAAUUGGCUCUUGUCUAUGUUCCUUGGAACAGGACGUCACAGAGGGUGAGAAUCCCGUGCGAUGAGAUGUCCAAUUCUAUGUAAAGUGCUUUCGAAGAGUCGAGUUGUUUGGGAAUGCAGCUCUAAGUGGGUGGUAAAUUCCAUCUAAAGCUAAAUAUUGGCGAGAGACCGAUAGCGAACAAGUACAGUGAUGGAAAGAUGAAAAGAACUUUGAAAAGAGAGUGAAAAAGUACGUGAAAUUGUUGAAAGGGAAGGGCUUGAGAUCAGACUUGGUAUUUUGUGUUCCUUAUUCUUUUUGGAUUUGGUUCCUCACAGCUUACCGGGCCAGCAUCGGUUUGGAUGGUAGGAUAAUGACAUUGGAAUGUAGCUUUGCUUCGGUGAAGUGUUAUAGACUUUGUUGAUACUGCCUAUCUAGACCGAGGACUGCGUCU